rnacentral:rRNA from 1 species
GACGAACGCUGGCGGCGUGCCUAAUACAUGCAAGUUGAGCGCUGAAGGUUGGUACUUGUACCAACUGGAUGAGCAGCGAACGGGUGAGUAACGCGUGGGGAAUCUGCCUUUGAGCGGGGGACAACAUUUGGAAACGAAUGCUAAUACCGCAUAAAAACUUUAAACACAAGUUUUAAGUUUGAAAGAUGCAAUUGCAUCACUCAAAGAUGAUCCCGCGCUGUAUUAGCUAGUUGGUGAGGUAAAGGCUCACCAAGGCGAUGAUACAUAGCCGACCUGAGAGGGCGAUCGGCCACAUUGGGACUGAGACACGGCCCAAACUCCUACGGGAGGCAGCAGUAGGGAAUCUUCGGCAAUGGACGAAAGUCUGACCGAGCAACGCCGCGUGAGUGAAGAAGGUUUUCGGAUCGUAAAACUCUGUUGGUAGAGAAGAACGUUGGUGAGAGUGGAAAGCUCAUCAAGUGACGGUAACUACCCAGAAAGGGACGGCUAACUACGUG